rnacentral:rRNA from 1 species
GAUGAACGCUGGCGGCGUGCCUAAUACAUGCAAGUCGAGCGAACAGAUGAGGAGCUUGCUCCUCUGACGUUAGCGGCGGACGGGUGAGUAACACGUGGAUAACCUACCUAUAAGACUGGGAUAACUUCGGGAAACCGGAGCUAAUACCGGAUAAUAUAGUGAACCGCAUGGUUCAAUAGUGAAAGACGGUUUUGCUGUCACUUAUAGAUGGAUCCGCGCCGCAUUAGCUAGUUGGUAAGGUAACGGCUUACCAAGGCAACGAUGCGUAGCCGACCUGAGAGGGUGAUCGGCCACACUGGAACUGAGACACGGUCCAGACUCCUACGGGAGGCAGCAGUAGGGAAUCUUCCGCAAUGGGCGAAAGCCUGACGGAGCAACGCCGCGUGAGUGAUGAAGGUCUUCGGAUCGUAAAACUCUGUUAUUAGGGAAGAACAAAUGUGUAAGUAACUAUGCACGUCUUGACGGUACCUAAUCAGAAAGCCACGGCUAACUACGUG